rnacentral:rRNA from 1 species
UACAGAGGUCUCAAGCGUUGUUCGGAUUCAUUGGGCGUAAAGAGUGCGUAGGCGGCGCGGUAAGUCGGGUGUGAAAUCUCGGGGCUUAACUCCGAAACUGCAUUCGAUACUGCCGUGCUUGAGGACUGGAGAGGAGACUGGAAUUUACGGUGUAGCGGUGAAAUGCGUAGAUAUCGUAAGGAAGACCAGUGGCGAAGGCGGCUCACUGGCCCGAUACUGACGCUGAGGUGCGAAAGCGUGGGGAGCAAACAGG